CAGUGGGGAAUUUUCCGCAAUGGGCGAAAGCCUGACGGAGCAACGCCGCGUGAGGGAGGAAGGUCUUUGGAUUGUAAACCUCUUUUCUCAAGGAAGAAGUUCUGACGGUACUUGAGGAAUCAGCCUCGGCUAACUCCGUGCCAGCAGCCGCGGUAAUACGGGGGAGGCAAGCGUUAUCCGGAAUUAUUGGGCGUAAAGCGUCCGCAGGUGGUCAGCCAAGUCUGCUGUCAAAUCAGGUUGCUUAACGACCUAAAGGCGGUGGAAACUGGCAGACUAGAGAGCAGUAGGGGUAGCAGGAAUUCCCAGUGUAGCGGUGAAAUGCGUAGAGAUUGGGAAGAACAUCGGUGGCGAAAGCGUGCUACUGGGCUGUAUCUGACACUCAGGGACGAAAGCUAGGGGAGCGAAAGGGAUUAGAUACCCUAGUAGUC
rnacentral:rRNA from 1 species